rnacentral:lncRNA from 1 species
CGCGUAGUGAGCACGCGCGUUGCAGCACCUCUCUCGUCGCUACCCGGCCGCCGGCCGCCCGCCGCCCGCCGCAAGCCACCCGAGCCUGGCCAAACUCUCGUCCCACCUUCUCCAGAAGCUCCGCCGCCAGCCCGUCGUCCUCCUCGUCCCCAGUCCCGUUCGCCGUUGCCGCCGCCUCGGCCUGACAGCUACCUACAGGGGAGAACUGAGGUCGCUUGAAGCGCUUCGUCCGACUCUUACCCAUGGCGACAGAGGCUGCGGUGGUAGAUCAGAGGAGGAAUACUGCAGCAGCAGUCGAUGGGGCCCGCCGGGCCCUGGGCAACUUCUAGUCUCCGACGUUACUUGGCGUCUCUCUUCAGCUGGUCGGAUGAGACGGUCUAGAGUUCUGUGCAGGGGCUGAAGUGCUGAAGUGACACUAAUACUGAACACAGGUAAUCAAAGGUACUGAGGCGCCAAGAGCUCGGCCAGCAUCGUCAAGAUCAUCUGGGGCUUGGUAUGGAAGGAGACAAAUGAUUCCUGAGUUUGC